rnacentral:lncRNA from 10 species
GGAAGAAAGCCAGCCGGAAGACACCUACCCUGGCCGGAAGACACGUACCCCCGAAGAUCGAGAAAGAGGCUGUCCGGGUAGUAUGUAGCAGUCACGUCAGACUGAGACACUUCUUGUUUACAGGAGACCAUAAAACCCCUGCCCCAUCCUCAUUUGGUGCUGAGGCCGUUUUAGGCCUCAGCCCGCCUGUACCCAGGCACUCAUUAAAACAGCGUGUUGCUCCACAGGGCCUCGUGUUGUCUGUUGGCACGCUCUUGGGCUUGGAACCGAUACAAGAACCUUACAAUGAGGUGGAAGAGAGAAGCACGGCAGGAUUGUGCACAAAGUCUUGUCUGUUGUGGAAUGGAGUUUGGACCUUUCCCACCACUUUCAAGGAAGGGAAUGAAUUGACCUGGUUCACUUCCUAAGAAGGCUACUGUCUGUGUGGUGCUCCUAGAGGCAUGGGAGAGGAGUGAAGACAGAGAUGACCAAAGAAACACUUGGGGAAAGAAUGGAAGCGGCAUGUGUUAGCUUGGGAAAGGGAAACAUACCAGCAUCCGAGAUCUGGCCAUCAGGGAGAAUAACAAACACUGACGGAUCUCACUCUGUCUCUCAAGCUGGAGUGCAGUGGUGCUAUCACGGCUCACUGCAGCCUCAACCUCCCCGGCUCAAGCGAUCUCCCCCCACCUCAGCCUUUGGAGUAACUGAGAUUAAAGCAUGUGCCACCACACCCAGCUAAUUUUUGUAGAAGUACUUUUAUGUUCUAUAGUGAAGAUUUAGCAACUCUAUUUUAAUGGGCUAUUGCUAUUUGUAUGAAAAAACAUAAUAGACUUUGAAAUAUAAUAGACUACAAUAGACUUUUAGGACUUACACCUUACUCAGAAUUUCCUCCCUUCUGGAUGUUUUGGUUUUGUUAACCUAGUUCAAACCCAUCCCACAAUCUUUUUUUCUACCUUGAUUCUCAUAGUCCCACCUUUUGGCCACCAAAGAGAUAGACACGUUUCCCUACAAAUCUGUUCUUUCCCGUCUCAGUGCAUGGAAUUAAAAUUCUCCUAGUCACCCAAGCCAGAAGUGUGAGAGGACCUAUGAUUCCUCCCUCCCUCUCCCAUCUCAACAGCCAAUCUAUCAUCAGCUCCUAGAAAUGGUGCAUUUUAAUUGUCUUGAACGCAGCUCUCUCAUCUCUGUUCCCCAUGCCAAUGGAGUAAUUUAGCUCUUCAUGAAUUCUUUCAUGCUUGGAUUAUUGUAAUAGCCUCUUCUGGUCUCCAGCUGACAUCCUCUCAAUCCAUCCUUAAUCCAGUGACCUCAGUAAACUUUU